rnacentral:rRNA from 1 species
UACGUAGGGUGCGAGCGUUAAUCGGAUUUACUGGGCGUAAAGCGUGCGCAGGCGGCCCGUUAAGACAGGUGUGAAAUCCCUGGGCUCAACCUAGGAAUUGCGCUUGUGACUGGCGGGUUCGAGUACGGUAGAGGGGGGUGGAAUUCCUGGUGUAGCAGUGAAAUGCGUAGAGAUCAGGAGGAACACCGAUGGCGAAGGCAGCCCCCUGGGCCUGUACUGACGCUCAUGCACGAAAGCGUGGGGAGCAAACAGG